ACGGUCUGGGGAAAGGCUCCUGUGUUGUUGAGCCUGCCAAGUUGUGGGUGCAGCAUGGUACCAGGCAGCCCAACCCUGACCUAAAGUAAAUUCCCGGAAGAAGUCUUUCCUGGGUUUUGAAUUUGCAGUAACAGGUGUGAGCAUUCUAGCAGCAGUUUGAUGAUCAUGUAUGAUACUGCAAACAGGA
rnacentral:snoRNA from 10 species